rnacentral:rRNA from 1 species
AUUGAACGCUGGCGGCAGGCCUAACACAUGCAAGUCGGGCGGAUGAAGGGAGCUUGCUCCUGGAUUCAGCGGCGGACGGGUGAGUAAUGCCUAGGAAUCUGCCUGGUAGUGGGGGAUAACGUCCGGAAACGGGCGCUAAUACCGCAUACGUCCUGAGGGAGAAAGUGGGGGAUCUUCGGACCUCACGCUAUCAGAUGAGCCUAGGUCGGAUUAGCUAGUUGGUGGGGUAAAGGCCUACCAAGGCGACGAUCCGUAACUGGUCUGAGAGGAUGAUCAGUCACACUGGAACUGAGACACGGUCCAGACUCCUACGGGAGGCAGCAGUUGGGAAUAUUGGACAAUGGGCGAAAGCCUGAUCCAGCCAUGCCGCGUGUGUGAAGAAGGUCUUCGGAUUGUAAAGCACUUUAAGUUGGGAGGAAGGGCAGUAAGUUAAUACCUUGCUGUUUUGACGUUACCAACAGAAUAAGCACCGGCUAACUUCGUG